GGUUGGAUGAAUUUUUUAAUUCAUUUUCAAGAUCUGGCUUUUUAGGGUGGAAAGCU
rnacentral:ncRNA from 12 species